rnacentral:rRNA from 1 species
GACGCACGCUGGCGGCGUGCUUAACACAUGCAAGUCGAACAGUGGCGAACGGGUGAGUAACACGUGAGUAACCUGCCCUCCACUUUGGGAUAACUCCGAGAAAUCGGGGCUAAUACUGGAUAGUGGGGGAGGGGAUCGGGGCCUAUCAGUUUGUUGGUUCGGUAUGGGUAACCAAGGCGGGACGGGUAGCCGGCCUGAGAGGGCGACCGGCCACACUGGGACUGAGACACGGCCCAGACGCCUACGGGAGGCAGCAGUGGGGAAUAUUUCACAAUGGGCGAAAGCCUGAUGCAGCGACGCCGCGUGGGGGAGGACGGCCUUCGGGUUGUAAACCUCUUUCAGCAAGGAAGCGGUACUUGCAGAAGAAGCGCCGGCUAACUACGUGCCAGCAGCCGCGGUAAUUC